rnacentral:sRNA from 1 species
GUGGGUACGUUGCCCGGUGGAGGCGGC